UACAGGGGGUGCAAACGUUGCUCGGAAUCAUUGGGCGUAAAGCGCACGUAGGCGGUCUGUUAUGUCGGAUGUGAAAGCCCUUGGCUCAACUGAGGAAGUGCAUCCGAAACUGGCAGGCUAGAGUACUAAAGAGGAUCGCGGAAUUCCCGGUGUAGAGGUGAAAUUCGUAGAUAUUCGGAGGAACACCAGUGGCGAAGGCGGCUCACUGGUCCAUUACUGACGCUGAGGUGCGAAAGCGUGGGGAGCAAACAGG
rnacentral:rRNA from 1 species